rnacentral:rRNA from 1 species
AACGAACGCUGGCGGCGUGCCUAUCACAUGCAAGUCGAACGAGAAAGGGGCUUCGGCUCCGAGUAAAGUGGCGCACGGGUGAGUAACACGUGGGUAACCUGCCUCUAAGAUUGGGAUAACUCGUCGAAAGAUGAGCUAAUACCGAAUAAGACCACAGUUCCCGCGGGAACAGGGGUCACAGGUAGCCUCUGCUUGCAAGCUAUCACUUAGAGAUGGGCCUGCGCACCAUUAGCUAGUUGGUAGGGUAACGGCCUACCAAGGCAAAGAUGGUUAGCUGGUCUGAGAGGAUGAUCAGCCACACUGGAACUGAGACACGGUCCAGACUCCUACGGGAGGCAGCAGUGGGGAAUAUUGCGCAAUGGGCGAAAGCUUGACGCAGCAACGCCGCGUGAGUGAUGAAGGCCUUCGGGUCGUAAAGCUCUGUCGGGAGGAACGAAUGCUCCUGAGGUUAACAGCCUCGGGAGGUGACGGUACCUUCAAAGGAAGCACCGGCUAACUCUGUG